UCUUACUUUCUUUCUUUUCUUGCUUUGUUUCUUUUACUGAAGAGAAUAAAAAAGUAUCUAUGAAAUCAUAGUAUUUGUGGUUUAGUUGCUUCUUGAAAUAGAGGCCGGGAAGCUCCCAGAGACACAGAUCUCCAUGUUGAAUCCUUAAACCUGGAAGUUCUUUUUUGCUCCUUCAAACCAUGGGGGUGCGGAAAUCGACCUCCCACUUCUGACCUCUGUGUGAGCCAGUUACACCGGCGACUGACCGUUUCUUGUGGGGUUUUCAUAACACAUAUGACAUGCUUUCAGUUUGUAUGGCAAUCGGCCAACCCUAGUAGGUGGAGUGGAAUCGAACCGAUGUUAAUCGGAAGGGUGGAUGCUGGGUACUGCUUGACCGUUCGGAUCUGCUAGGGAUGAAAGGGUGGGAUGUGCCGGCCCAAAAUCAAUCAUAAACAUUAUUGAUGGUUAUUUUACAUGACAUUUGAUCAUCGUCUCAAAUAAAUUAUCAAUGUUUCCAUCAAUAUCAAUCAAGACAGGCUGGUUGGUUUUUGGCUUUUUAUACCGGAAAAUAUUCUGGUAGAAAUAAAAAUAAGAUCAAAAUAUAAAGGAAUAAAAAAUCGAAUUACAAAUAAGAUCAAGUUAUAAUAGAAGGAGAUCAAAAUUGAUAGAAUUAUCGGGAAAACAUUGAUUUUUGAGAAAAAUGACAAUCACCAAUCUUUAGAAGGACUUUUCGUCAAGCAUGUAUUACGAGUCGAACCAACCACCUCGCUCAUGUUUCAUAUUUGGUUGAACCCAUUGGCAUCUGGAUUGUAAUGUCUUUUCGUGACCUUA